CACUUGUCACUUGUCCCUGAUCAGAUAAGUGUAGCUAAAGCUACCACUUAUCACUUGUCACUUGUCACUAAUCAGAUAAGUGUAGCUAAAGCUACCACUUAUCACUUGUCACUGAUUAGAAGUACUUAAAUCCGACGUUUCGCUCAAUUUGAUCAUUUAUUCAGUUUUUCGUAUUGUUAUUUUAUUCUCAAUCCAUCAACAACUAUAUAUCAUCAUAUACUAUAUAAUUCAUGAAAUUAACAUUUAAUCAUUAAAUUUCAGCCAUAUGAACUUACUAUUCCAUUACCUUUCCACACUUGUUUCCUAUGCACAUAACACAAGAUAUAAACAUAUCAUUCAACCAUAGCCGCAAGCUAGUGUAUUUAAACAUAACUCUUUUUUGAACUAACCACAUGUUAAACCAUUUCACUAGAGAUUACAUAAUUUAAACCUUACCACCCUUUUCAUGAUCACAAGCAUAUUUUCAAUUAGGCACUUACUAUUUCAAUGCAUAACUUAUAAAUUUAACGUGGCAUAAUCUAGCCACUACUUGGCCAAAGCCUAAGCAUGUACACCAAAUAUGUUAGCCAAAUACACAUAUAGCAUAAGCAUUAUAAGCAUGGAUGAGCACAACAUUUAUUCAUGUAUCACGCUUACCAACAUGUGUUAAUUCAUAAACCAUUCAUGACAUUAUUUCAUGCCAAAUCAUAUACCGAAUAUACCAGGCACACAUAUUAUGAAACUUUAUUUUCACACAUGAGCUUAAACCAUGACCAAUAAUGCACAAAUAUAAGCAUCAUUUGUAUUUCAUCGUUUAUCAAUUAUAAUCAAGCAUAUGACCAAUUAUACACAAAUCAUUCAUAAAUUUCCCAAUUUUCUCCUCCUCCUCUCCAUUCUACAUCCUUAAUGUGUAUAACACACUUAAACAACAUUAACUAUAAUUUCACUAUUCACUCAC
rnacentral:lncRNA from 1 species